UACGGGGGGGGCAAGCGUCGUUCGGAAUUACUGGGCGUAAAGGGCGCGUAGGCGGUGCUCUAAGUUAGAUGUGAAAACUCUGGGCUCAACCCAGAGCCUGCAUCUAAAACUGGAGUGCUAGAGUUCUGGAGGGGGUAGCGGAAUUCCUGGUGUAGCGGUGAAAUGCGUAGAUAUCAGGAGGAACACCGGUGGCGAAGGCGGCUACCUGGACAGAAACUGACGCUGAGGCGCGAAAGCUAGGGGAGCAAACAGG
rnacentral:rRNA from 1 species